UCUAUCCGGAUUUAUACGAGUAAAUUUAACUCAAUUUAAUAUGAUUCAUAUUCAAUUCAACUUAAUUCACAUCUUAAGGAAAAGUACCAUUUUUCCCCUAUUCUUAAUUAAUUGCAUUUUCGUCCUUAAGCUCGGAAAAUAAAAUUUAUGCAAUUUAGUCAUUAUUCCACGCCUAGCCGAUUUUUACAUAUAACAUUUACA
rnacentral:lncRNA from 1 species